rnacentral:rRNA from 1 species
UAGGGAAUCUUCGGCAAUGGGGGCAACCCUGACCGAGCAACGCCGCGUGAGUGAAGAAGGUUUUCGGAUCGUAAAGCUCUGUUGUAAGAGAAGAACGUGUGUGAGAGUGGAAAGUUCACACAGUGACGGUAACUUACCAGAAAGGGACGGCUAACUACGUGCCAGCAGCCGCGGUAAUACGUAGGUCCCGAGCGUUGUCCGGAUUUAUUGGGCGUAAAGCGAGCGCAGGCGGUUUAAUAAGUCUGAAGUUAAAGGCAGUGGCUUAACCAUUGUUCGCUUUGGAAACUGUUAAACUUGAGUGCAGAAGGGGAGAGUGGAAUUCCAUGUGUAGCGGUGAAAUGCGUAGAUAUAUGGAGGAACACCGGUGGCGAAAGCGGCUCUCUGGUCUGUAACUGACGCUGAGGCUCGAAAGCGUGGGGAGCAAUCAGG